AGCUUAGUAGUAUAGCUUGGUUAUUAUACCCGAGUGAAUGCUUCUGGGAGACUAUAGGUUCGAAUCCUAUCUGGGCUU